GGCUUUUUGAUUAUAAUUUAAAGUCUGACCUGCCCAAUGAAAUUUUUAAUGGCCGCAGUAUUUUGACUGUGCAAAGGUAGCAUAAUCAUUAGUUUCUUAAUUAGAAGCUGGUAUGAAUGGUUGAACGAGAAAAAGACUGUCUCUACUUAAAUUUAUUAGAAUUUUAUUUUUAAGUUAAAAAGCUUAAAUAUAAUUAAAAGACGAGAAGACCCUAUAGAGUUUUAUAUUUUAUUUAAUUAUAAAUUUUUAAGAAUUAUAUAAUUUUUAAUUUUUUAAAGUAUUUUGUUGGGGUGAUAGAAAAAUUUAAAAAACUUUUUUUUUAUUAUUACAUUUAUUUAUGAGUAAUUGAUCCAUUGUUUGUGAUUAUAAGAUUAAAUUACCUUAGGGAUAACAGCGUAAUUUUUUUGGAGAGUUCUAAUCGAUAAAAAAGUUUGCGACCUCGAUGUUGGAUUAAAAUAUAAAAUUGGUGUAGAAGCUAAUUUAUUUAGGUCUGUUCGACCUUUAAAAUUUU
rnacentral:rRNA from 1 species